rnacentral:rRNA from 1 species
CACGUAGGCACCAAGCGUUGUCCGGAUUUAUUGGGCGUAAAGAGCUCGUAGGCGGUUCAGUAAGUCGGGUGUGAAAACUCUGGGCUUAACCCAGAGCCGCCACUCGAUACUGCUGUGACUUGAGUUCGGUAGGGGAGUGGGGAAUUCCUGGUGUAGCGGUGAAAUGCGCAGAUAUCAGGAGGAACACCGGUGGCGAAGGCGCCACUCUGGGCCGAACCUGACGCUGAGGCGCGAAGGCUAGGGGAGCGAACGGG